UACGUAGGGUGCGAGCGUUAAUCGGAAUUCCUGGGCGUAAAGCGUGCGCAGGCGGCUUUGUAAGCCAGAUGUGAAAGCCCCGGGCUUAACCUGGGAAUGGCAUUUGGGACUGCAAGGCUCGAGUUUGGCAGAGGAGACUGGAAUUCCUGGUGUAGCAGUGAAAUGCGUAGAUAUCAGGAGGAACACCGAUGGCGAAGGCAGGUCUCUGGGCUGAAACUGACGCUCAUGCACGAAAGCGUGGGGAGCAAACAGG
rnacentral:rRNA from 1 species